UAAUUUUUCGACAGGUCCCUUCUAAAUGGUUUCUCUCGCCCUUAUUAAGCUUGCCGGUCUUCCACGAAUUACAACAGCCAGGUACUCCUGAGCACUUCCUGCUAAAAUCAAAAUGGAUACAACCACGAUCCCCAUUAUCCAGAGGACAUAGAGAAGUGUCCGUCAAACUGAAAUGCAGAGGAAUUAACAUGAAAGCUACAAACAGUCUAAUAUGGGGCAGAGGCAACCUCCAAAUCCAUCAAACCCAGGCAAUCGGCUGCCGGAGUCCACGUUCGUAACCCCAGGACGUUACUACUGACCUCUGUCACCGACCUGCCAAAUUCCAAAGAGGAACUGGAUGUGAUCGGCCACCAUAUGCCACAACGCUUUUCAGAGCCUCCCACUGUAUGCUACAUAUUUCACCGCCCCUGGACUCUGCUCGCAUCUCACAGCCCAAAGCGUAUCACAC